rnacentral:rRNA from 1 species
AUUGAACGCUGGCGGCAGGCCUAACACAUGCAAGUCGAACGGUAACAGGAAGAAGCUUGCUUCUUUGCUGACGAGUGGCGGACGGGUGAGUAAUGUCUGGGAAACUGCCUGAUGGAGGGGGAUAACUACUGGAAACGGUUGCUAAUACCGCAUAACGUCGCAAGACCAAAGAGGGGGACCUUCGGGCCUCUUGCCAUCGGAUGGGCCCAGAUGGGAUUAGCUUGUUGGUGGGGUAACGGCUCACCAAGGCGACGAUCCCUAGCUGGUCUGAGAGGAUGACCAGCCACACUGGAACUGAGACACGGUCCAGACUCCUACGGGAGGCAGCAGUGGGGAAUAUUGCACAAUGGGCGCAAGCCUGAUGCAGCCAUGCCGCGUGUAUGAAGAAGGCCUUCGGGUUGUAAAGUACUUUCAGCGGGGAGGAAGGGAGUAAAGUUAAUACCUUUGCUCAUUGACGUUACCCGCAGAAGAAGCACCGGCUAACUCCGUGCCAGCCGCCGCCGUAA